ensembl:lncRNA
GGAUGAGGUCAGAGGUCAGUAUAUACUGUAGAUAAAGGGUUAGGGGUUUAGGUCAGUAUAUACUGUAGAUAAAGGGUUAGGGGUUAAGGUCAGAGGUCAGUAUAUACUGUAGAUAAAGGGUUAGGGGUUAAGGUCAGAGGUCAGUAUAUACUGUAGAUAAAGGGUUAGGGGUUUAGGUCAGUAUAUACUGUAGAUAAAGGGUUAAGGGUUAAGGUCAGAGGUCAGUAUAUACUGUAGAUAAAGGGUUAGGGGUUUAGGUCAGUAUAAACUGUAGAUAAAGGGUUAAGGGUUAAGGUCAGAGGUCAGUAUAUACUGUAGAUAAAGGGUCAGGAGUUUAGGUCAGCAUAAACUGUA